UAGGACUCCCAAUAAUGGAUAUCUUGGCUCUCGCAUCGAUGAAGAGCGCAGCGAAAUGCGAUACGUGGUGCGAAUUGCAGAAUCCCGUGAACCAUUGAGUUUUUGAACGCAAGUUGCGCCUGAGGCCAACUGGUUAAGGGCACGUCCGCUUGGGCGUCAAGC
rnacentral:rRNA from 2 species